rnacentral:misc_RNA from 1 species
GAAAUGCGAUAAGUAAUGUGAAUUGCAGAAUUCAGUGAAUUAUCGAAUCUUUGAACGCACAUUGCGCCCGCCAGUAUUCUGGCGGGCAUGCCUGUUCGAGCGUCAUUACAACCCUCAGGCCCCCGGGCCUGGCGUUGGGGAUCGGCGGAAGCCCCCUGCGGGCACAACGCCGUCCCCCAAAUACAGUGGCGGUCCCGCCGCAGCUUCCAUUGCGUAGUAGCUAACACCUCGCAACUGGAGAGCGGCGCGGCCACGCCGUAAAACACCCAACUUCUGAAUGUUGACCUCGAAUCAGGUAGGAAUACCCGCUGAACUUAAGC